CCGAGAGGGAGCACCGCCUGCAGCUCUCCAGACCCCAGGAAGCUGGUGCCGGGGUUGUGGCAUAGUCCUGGGUCCAGUGCUCUCUGUGCUGUUUUCUGAAUGCAGAGCAGCUUUAGGAUGGAAAACCAGAGGCUUGUGCAGUGACCUGGACUUCCUGGAUCAAGUACAAAACCAGUGGUACCACUGGGAAGAGAGCCCAGGAAUCCUGACUUUGUGUUUGCCUCUGCUUACCUGGAAUUUGACUGAGCAUGAAUGCAGCCAAAAGUCUAUUGCUCCCCAAUAUACGUUCACAGGAAAGAUGAGGAACCACUGACCAUGAAAUGGAGGCCAAAGGAACCGAGCAUCAUAAUCAAGUAGGUUGAGACUUUCCAGAAGAGUUAGAACUGAGAG